rnacentral:siRNA from 1 species
UGAGAUGGACUAAACCGCAGAUA